UACGAAGGGGGGCUAGCGUUGCUCGGAAUCACUGGGCGUAAAGCGCACGUAGGCGGCUUUCUAAGUCAGGGGUGAAAUCCUGGAGCUCAACUCCAGAACUGCCUUUGAUACUGGAGAGCUUGAGUCCGGGGAGAGGUGAGUGGAACUCCCGAGUGUAGAGGUGAAAUUCGUAGAUAUUCGGAAGAACACCAGUGGCGAAGGCGGCUCACUGGCCCGGUACUGACGCUGAUGUGCGAAAGCGUGGGGAGCAAACAGG
rnacentral:rRNA from 1 species